GGGUCGUCCGGUGGAGCUGGAGCACAAUCACAACGGCAGUGCACGACUGACAGUAGCAGUCCCUCUCUUCGCGAAUGCCAAUAAUAGCCACGAGGCAAAAUGUCAAAAAUACAGCAACGUUCAAUAAGAAAUGUCAAUAACACAUAAUAAUGUGUUCUUAUUAUACAUCGUCAAAGGUAGGUUUGCAAAAAGAAAAAGAAAAAAAGAAAAGAAAGGUUAACACAGGGUUCAU
rnacentral:lncRNA from 1 species